AACGCACGUUUAAAUCGGGGUUGGGUUUCGUUAUUCCCCGUGACCUAACAGAAGAAAACAUUAAUCGUUGUGCUGCACAACGCAAACUCUGAGUCCUUGUACGUAAGUUACUCUAUGUUACUUUAGCGAUAGUUCUAGUCGAGGGGUUUGGGCAUUAUUCCUCCAUAACACCAGGGCUAGAGCCUGAUAACUCAUAACAGUUGAACUUCAAGCCCAACUCAGCAUCUUGCCAGCCUUCUGUAAGCUGAAAUCACCCUCAAAUUUCAUCAAAUAAUAAAUGUCAAGUAAUCUCAACGACCAUGCAACCUGUUCAGUCUGAGUCUCCAUGGACAUUUAUAUGUUUAGCAAGCUUGACAGACAGACUGCUUUAUCGACGGACAUUGGGGCCAGCAUACUAGGGGAGCAAAGUUAAAGUUCAGGUCAGGUUGGAGAGGUCUGUCUUGUUGCGCACCACAUCAAGGCCCACAUCGGAGGAGACUGCAGUGGUUCUGCUAAGGUUCAACGAAAAUGCUCUCUGUUUGGAUAUCCCUCCUUCUCUUCUGUCCAGCCAUCGUGAGGACAGGAAAUGUGCUGGUUGUCCCAGUCGAGGGGAGUCACUGGGUGAACAUGAAAAUCAUUGUUGAAGAGCUUCAUUCAAGGGGCCACACUAUCUCAGUGGUGCAAACAAUAGACAGCUGGUAUAUCAAGGAACACUCCCCCUUCUAUACUGCUAUUACCGUCAAAUCUGAGAGUGGCUUUGAUGAGGGCUUCAUCACUGAGUUAAUUGCGAAGCUUCUGGAGAUCCAGAGGAACGGAAGGUCUCCCUGGGCACGUUUCAAGCUGGAGAUGGAGCAAAUGGAGGCAGCCUCUGUGAUGCACAUAAAGGGCGCCCAAUUGGUUGAGCAUAUGUUUGAGGACAAGCAGUUGAUGCAGUCUCUAAAGGAUGCCAAAUUCGACAUGGUUCUGACAGAUCCCGUCAUACUAGCUGGUGUCAUGCUUGCCCGCCACUUAGAUCUGCCUUUAGUUUUCAAUGUGAGAUGGACGACUCACGGCGAAGGCCAUUUUUCAAUCGCUCCUUCUCCUCUUUCUUACGUUCCAGUGCCAGGGCUAGAGCUAUCCGAUAAGAUGAGCUUCAGCGAAAGAGUUUUGAAUGUAUGUGUUUACUGCUUCACAAAAUUUCAUUUAUCCCAGUAUGUCGUUCCACACUAUGAGGGGCUGAUGCAAAAAUACUUCAGCCAAGAUUCCUUUAUGAGCCUGUUUCAAAGAGCUGAUCUGUGGCUCAUGAGAAUAGAUUUUGUGUUUGAGUUCCCUCGGCCCACCAUGCCUAACAUUAAGUACAUGGGAGGGUUUCAAUGUAAACCUGCUCAGCCUCUGCCUCCACACCUGGAGGACUUUGUCCAGAGUUCAGGAGAGCACGGAGUCAUCGUCAUGUCUCUGGGGACGCUCAUCGCAAGUCUUCCCCAAGAAAUAUCAGAGGAAAUUGCCGCCGCUUUUGCAAAACUACCUCAGAAAGUCAUCUGGAGACAUAAAGGUGAACGGCCAGCAUCCUUAGGCAACAACACAUUACUUGUCGGUUGGAUGCCACAGAAUGACCUUUUAGGACACGAAAAAACAAAACUGUUUGUGGCGCACGGAGGAACAAACGGAGUACAAGAGGCCAUCUACCACGGAGUGCCCAUCCUCGGACUCCCACUGAUCUUUGACCAACACGACAAUCUCUUCAAAAUUAAAUUCAGAGGAGGCAGCAAAAUCCUAAAUAUAUUCACUAUUGACAGGGAGAGCUUCCGACAAGGUAUCGAGGAACUCCUCAAUGAGCCCUCAUACAGGACCAACAUGGAGCAACUCUCUAGACUCAGUAGGGACCUGCCAAUGAAGCCUUUAGACUACGCCAUCUUCUGGAUAGAGUAUGUUAUACGAAACAAGGGUGCUGGUCACCUGAGGUCAGAGUCCUACAACAUGCCUUGGUACUCCUACUACUCUGUAGAUGUGAUCCUUCUCUUAUUAGGACUGCUGCUGAUUAUGAUCCUGACCUUUGUUGUGUUAGUCAAGAACCUGUGCUCCUGUGUCUGUCGCAGAAUAAAACGCAAACGGGACUAAUAAUAUCUUUAUAUAUAUUUGCAUAUAAGUAUUAAAUCUAUUUUCAUUCUGAACAUUUGUGUAAGAUAUAUAGUAAAUCUUGUGUAAACCCAUAAAGGCGCUAAUCAUGCAGAUAAAGUUAAUCAUUUUAGGUCAAGGUUAUCACCUUGAUGUGGCUUACAUAUUAACAUUUUGUUUCUUUUGUUCCUCGUGCUGUCAUUGUGGUUUUUUGGUCCUGCGUGUUCUAUGUGGUUACCUGUGUUCCCUUGCUCCUUGCUCCUUGCUCCUUGCCUUAGCCUUUUGGCGGAAAUAAAGUACAGUUUUCCCUAAACCGUC